rnacentral:rRNA from 1 species
AUGUUGAGCCGAUUACAACACACAAGUGGGGUGACAUCGCCGUUCUCGUUCGAGAUGUUAAAACAGAUCACUAAUAAUUUUUCGGAGGAGCACAUAAUUGGUCGUGGUGCGUAUGGAGUGGUUUACAAGGGAGUAUUGGACAAUGGGAAAGAGAUUGCUGUGAAGAAGCUUAAAUACAUGCCUCCAGAACAUGACAGCAAUAAACAAUUUGAGAAUGAGUGUACAAACCUUAUGGGGGUCCAACAUCAAAAUAUCGUGCGGUUAGUUGGCUACUGUCAUGAAACACGUCGUGAAUAUGUGGAACACGGUGGAAAAUACGUUUGGGCUGAGGUGGAUGAACGAGUUCUCUGCUUUGAAUACUUGCAGGGUGGAAGCCUUGACAAACAUGUCUCUGACGAACCAUGCAAACUUGAUUGGGACAUGUGCUACAAAAUAAUUAAGGGAGUCUCUGAAGGUUUAAAUCACCUUCAUAAGGACUCCAUUUUCCAUUUUGACUUGAAGCCUGGAAAUAUAUUGCUGGAUAACAACAUGAUGCCGAAAAUUGACGAUUUUGGUUUAUCAAGAUUCUUUCCUUCAGCAGAAACCUGCACCACAGCGACGAAUUUUGGAACAUUGGGGUACAUACCACCAGAACACAUAAUCGGACACCAAAUCUCACCGAAAUAUGAUGUAUUCAGUUUGGGUGUUAUAAUCGUAAUAAUAAUGGCAGGAUUCAGGGGCUACUAUGAAUAUAAAGAUACCGCUUCCUUUGAAUUCAUCAAGCUUGUAUGUGAAAUGUGGCAAAAAAGGGUACAUGCAACGACGUGGUCACACAUAUCACAAGAAGUUAAGACAUGCAUCGAAAUAGCGUUAAGAUGUAUUAAGCAUGAUCGAGAGGAAAGGCCUACUAUAAGCCAAGUUGUUGAUGUACUUAGUAGGAUUGAUGUUGAGAAGUUGUCACUUAAGUGCGAGCUUCGAUGGGAGUUCAUGGUGGUCCCACUACGGUUGAAUUCACACCUGGUGAGGUGGGAGAGGAUGAUAGAUCGAUGCAUGAAAGUGACACGGUUGAGCCCAUGA